rnacentral:lncRNA from 1 species
GGUUUACACACAGAUGGAGCUCCAUGCUCGUUUGCAGAGUUGUGUCACCUGUGUGGUUUAAUUAACUCAAUCAGCCUCAGGUGGCCACUCACCCUCACCAUUGGUCCAGGAGCUACUUUUAGUUGCCAAUGUAUAUAUCUGACACUGUUUAGAGUUGGUAGUUCUGUCCUGGUGAAUGGUCUCCUUGCUUGGACCUGCUUCUGCUCACUAAACUGUGAGCAGAAUCUGUUCCUGCUUCCAACCUUGGCUUUUUUUCUGGAUUCCAGAGGAUUGUGCUAUGUCUUCGGAGGUGUGUGGUUUAGCACCCCACUUCAUCUUCUCGUGGAGUACCUGUGCUUUUCCUUUGUCUGCUGCAGAUUGUCAAACCUUGCCUCUUUCUGCUUCUGCUACAUUCACAUUGCAUUUAAAGCAAACAAACAACCGACAGCAACACCAAAAGCAAAGCAACCAACAUCUGAACAACUCCAAACUCAUCCUCUUAUCUUCAUCCUUCUUCCUUCUGUGAAUGACUUCCUAGUGGUACUGCUGGGAGGAAAACCAC